CAGUUUUAACUUAUCUUUGACAAGAGAUUGAUUUUCUUCUUUUAGAACUUUAUUUUUAUUAACUAGUUUCUUAUGUUCUUCCAUGAGUUCUAAGAAUGCAUCAUGUAAUUCAUCAACAGUAAAAUCACAGUCAAGUUCAGAAUCUACCUCAUCGUCAUUGGCCAUAUGACACAUUUGGGCCGUCUCUUGAUGAUCUUCCUCUUCCGAACUUGAUUCCUCACUUUCACUCCAUUCAGCCAUGAAGUUCUUCUUUUUCAGUUUUCUUGCCCGGGUUUGUUACACUUAUAGCAAAUGGGAGUUUCUUUUUCCUUUUCUUUGUCCUUACCCUUUUCUUUGCUUGAGUUACCUUUGAUGAAGGGUUUCUUUCUAUAGAAUCUAUUCUUACCUCUCAUAAAUUUUCUGAAUUUUCUCCCAAGCAUAGCCAUCCCUUCUUCAUCAAUUUCUUCAUCAUCAUCUGAAUCUUCCGAUUCAGUUUGUUGUUUAGGG
rnacentral:lncRNA from 1 species